rnacentral:siRNA from 1 species
GGUCAUACGUUAUAAUUUUGGUC